GUGAAUCAUCAAAUUUUUGAACGCAAAUUGCGCUUCCUAGCAUCCCGGGAAGUAUGCCUGUUUGAGGGUCAGUAUUAACAAAAUAGCUGUUUUUUUGCAAAUUGUGACUUUUCCGUCGUUUGGGCUAUCUUAACUUUUUUGGUUAAUGGGCUUAAAAUUGACCUUUUUUUCGCAUUUUUAGACAUUCAUAACUUUUUUUUUAUUCGUCUAUUCUUAAUGCCAAAAUCUUAUUAGAUGCGAUCACCUUGUAUAGCUUCGUGU
rnacentral:misc_RNA from 1 species